rnacentral:lncRNA from 1 species
UAACGUAUUCUAACGUACAAAAUGGCGUCUUUUCUAAAUCUGAUAUGAGAAUUGGCAAUUUCAAUAAAAUUUUUUCUAAAGUCCGAGUUUCCAAGUCACAGAACGAUUCGUACUGUGAAAUUAGCAGUUUAACGAACCGAAACCACGUUUACUCGUUAUCUAAUUCCGAGUCUCGUCAACAUCUACGAACAGUGGCACGUUUCUACGCGAAAGUUGGAUACCACAAAUUGCUCGCGUGCUGGACAGAAUAGAAUCACGAUAAACGACGAAAGAAGAGGAUUCAAGAGGCGACCGCGAUGAAAUCUUGCUGAAUCCAGGUUGUGGACAACAGGCUCAUUAGUAGCAUCGAUAUGCAGAAUACUGAAAGUUAUAAAAACGCAAUAAUAUGCGUAUACAAAAGUGCAACGCAAUAUCUGAUCGCAGUCAUAGAUCCAUAUGUUCGCCACCCAAUUAAAAUUAUUCACCUGGGACCAAUUACCGCACCCACGAAGCAUCCAGACGUCAAGGCCGAGGAUACGAUAUAAACCAGUCCUUGUGUUUCAAGUGAAACCGGUUACGCGCCAUGGUGUUUCACGCCCGAACAGAAACAUCAUGAGGAUUUCGCGGCCGCAAUUAGACCUUUGAAAACUGCGUUCCAAUUAACGCCCUCGUAGAUCCCCCUGUGGAUUACUGUCAUGUUUUAUGCAAUCGUCUCGGCACAAGUGCACCUCGCUCGCAUCUGCGACCGGUUGCAAAGUAAUUGUGGCUUGAAGGAGAUAUUCGCUAGUUCGCCGAAAUUUAUUGGUAUACGUAGGCGUAAAAUUAUGAUGGAAAUUGAAUGGAUAUUCCUGAAACUUAUAGAAGAAUAUUUAGAGGAUAAAACAUUCAUCUGUAAGCGAGGUAAAUGCAUUAAGUUGUUCUCUAAUUGUAAGUAAAUAAUGAUAGCUUAUCCUUUAAUUCUAUCGAGAAACAGAUUUUGUAAUUAUCAUUUAAAUAUCGUAUUAUAAGCUGAUUAAAAUAUGUUCCCUCGAUUCAUUCCAUUUGAAAUAAUUCAUUCCAUUUUCACAAAAGGUAGCCAAAAGGAUGAAGAUACUUUAAUUCCCGCGAAGCAUCUAAAAAAAAUUACAAAUGAAACAUUAAUAAGAAGUUUUCACGUAAAGAUAUCUUUCAUAAAAAUUCAAAUUUCAUCAUUCGAGGGAAAAGAAAAGAAAAAUAUAAACGAAACAAACAUUCUUUUUUUCCACCCUUCUGGCAUAAUUCACCGCACGAUAAAUCCCCCUUCAACCAGCCGGGAGAGGGAAUGCCGGAAAUAAUUCGCGAAGGAAGCUGCGUGGCGGAAUUUACGGGCGACGAGCUUUUUAGCAAUUUAUAUCCGGCAGGGGCAAGAUUGUUGUUCGCCGGCCAUUAAAACGGCACGACAUCUCGCAUUGUUCUCGGCCAAUAGCACCGGCCAGCCAUUUUUCACCAGAAUAUUAUGUCCUCCGACCGAUAGCAGAAUACGUCCUUUAUAACUCUCUCUCUCUCUCUCCCUUUCUUCCCUUUUCUCUCUGUCCGCCACGAUUCGAUUCAACGAUUCGAAUGACUCGCGCCAGUUCCCGGGCAACGUUCCAAACCAGUGAAUGACGCCCACUCAAAGAACUUACGCAACGACGCGCGUCGAUGCAGCAGAAAAACACGUUCAUUCACGUUUCGACACAACAGUCGUUGCACUGAUUGAAGAUAUCACCGUUUUUCUUCUUUUUUUUGUUCAUUAUUCGUUUCUCUUUGUAAUCGAUAAUCAUGACUCAAUGUGUAUUGUAAUAGUCUUCUUCAAAUGAGAUUGAAUGGAUGAAUGGAUAACGAAUCGAUGAUUUUAUGGAUUUAUAUAGGUUUAUAGUUUUAUAUAAUGAGUUGAUUUUUCUUGGAAAAUGAUAAAUUAAGAUAAUAAUAUGAUAGCAUAAUAAUUGUUGAAUAAUUGUGUUGUAAGUGGGUAAAUGUUGGUUGAUUGAAAAGUCAUAGUAAAUUAUUUGUUAGGAUUUUUAAUUGAAUUGAAUAUUUUAUGCAUUCUAUAGAUUCAAUUUUUUAAUAAACCUCAUCAGUUUUUAUUUAAGUUUUUUUAGAUGAUCUCAUUUCAGGAACUAAUUUAAAUAUAAUGUAUAGAUCAGAAAUAAUUAUAUUUGUUUUGAAAAUUUUCUCAAACUAAUAUAUCAAUAUUAUAUAUCAUCGAACCAUCAUGUACAUCAACAGAAUUAAUCCAUCCACUGGAGAUAGAUUCCAAUUGCUUCCUACAACAAAUCUUCUAAAAAGGGGGACGUUUUUAACGCCGUAACACGGUGAAAUCACGGUAACCAAAGAGCUCACGUAUCACGAGAUCCGCUAUCCGAUUCGCAGGACGAUACCGUCCGAUAAAUCAGGCGAGAAAGUAGCGAGCAUCGCGACUAAUUCAUACAAUUUCAGACAGUUGGUAGAUUUAUCGGCAGCCUCGGCGCGUGCUCGCAUGUAAAUAGCGGGAGAGAGAGCGGCUGCUGUGAAAUAAUUUAUCGCGUCGUCCACGACAGCCGGGAACAACGAGCGCGUGAUGGUUCGCCUGUUCUCUCUAUAAAUUCUCGGAUGGGGGAGAAGUAUCGGCUCGAUUACCCAGUGGCUCGUUCCGGUUUCGUAGCACAUGAAAAAGAUUUCAGUUAGUAUUCUCGAAAAUGAUAUCUUAUCUAUUUAAUUAUUUAAAUUUUAGAAAUUGGGACGUGUAGGAAUGUAGGUGAUUGUUGUUAUGCACUUUGCAUUGGGUUUUAGAAAAUAAAAUACGCGAUUUUUUUUGUAUUGUUUUUA